GAAAUAUCAGUGGAUCGGAGAUAGCUAGAUCAAAUAUUUAUCAGGUUAUCGUGGUUAUGUGAAGAAGUUCUCAACAUGUGAUUAAUGAAAAAAAAGUAAAGAAGAAGAAAUCGGAGAGGGUGUCGUGUUAUACUACAUAAUCACCAAGAAAUGGAAAGAUCACAUAUAGAUUAUUUUGUUUGUGGGUGUGCUAUUUUAAAU